UUCUGCAGGAAUUGGAAAGGUGAUAUCCUAAAAGCACCAGAUCCUCUCUGAUCUUGAAGGCUAAGCAGCGUCCACCCUGGUUACUACUUGGUUGGGAGAUCAUUAACAAAAACCAGGUGCUGUAGAUU
rnacentral:rRNA from 11 species